rnacentral:tRNA from 1 species
ACUCGCUUGGUGAAAGUGGUAAACACGGUGGACUUAAAAUUCACUCUCAUUUUAAGGGUUAUUGGUUCAAGUCCAAUAGCGAGUA